rnacentral:rRNA from 1 species
UACGUAGGGGGCUAGCGUUGUCCGGAUUUAUUGGGCGUAAAGCGCGUGUAGGCGGCCAGAUAGGUCUGCUGUGAAAACUCGAGGCUCAACCUCGAGCUGUCGGCGGAAACCAUCUGGCUAGAGUCCGGAAGAGGAGAGUGGAAUUCCCGGUGUAGCGGUGAAAUGCGCAGAUAUCAGGAAGAACACCUAUGGCGAAGGCAGCUCUCUGGGACGGUACUGACGCUGAGACGCGAAAGCGUGGGGAGCGAACAGG